rnacentral:lncRNA from 10 species
GAUGGAGUGAUGGAGUGCAGGGGCGUGACCUCAGCUCACUGCAACCUUCACCUCCCAGGUUCAAGUGAUUCUCCUGCCUCUGCCUCCCGAAUAGCUGGGAUUACAGGUAUGCACUACUACACUGGGCUAAGUUUUGUAUUUUCAGUAGAGAUGGGGUUUCACCACUUGGCCAGGCUGGUCUCGAACUUCUGACCUCAAGCAAUCCUCCCGCCUUAGGCUCCCAAAGUGGUGGGAUUACAGGCCUGAACCACAGGGCCCAGCCUUGGCUUGUGGUUCUUUUACUAAAUAUGGAAUAGCGAUAAAGCUUAUGUAUCAUAUUUGUAAAAGAAAGCUAGGCACAUGAAGCAGAAUUAAUUCAUGAGGGAAAAUAUUUAUUUUACUCUCAAGUCUCCCGAAAGUUAUUGUAUUCAUUUAAACUCAAUUUCUAAUUUUUUUAGUUACCCAAAUACUAUUGCAUUAAAUGCAUUAAAGAGAGCAUUGUACCUAGCAGAUAUGUGAGAAACAGUUUGACUUUUUAACCACUAAAAAAUGUCCAAAUAUCAGAAUUUAUUUUAUUUUAAAUUUCAAAAAAAUCCUUAUUUUAUAUGAUAAAAAUCAAGUUGAUUUGUAAGUCAUAUAUAUCAGCUUAUUAUCAAGAACUAUUGCUAUGUAAAAGAACUUAGGACUGUGUAAUUAGAACUAUGUAAUAGAAAUAUUUACAGAAGACUAUAUCUGCCAACAUGAGAUACUCUACCACCAUAACUUAUAUCAAUGACUCUUGUUCUAUCAUCGUGUGCAUUAUAAAUAGUGCAAAAUUUCAAGAAAUUUCCAUUUUGAGAUAUAAGAAAUCAAUAUGCUGGGAAAACUAAUAUCAAACUCUGAAGUAGAUAUAUUUCAUUUUAUAUAUAUUUUAAAUGACCUUUAACUAAAGGUUAAAUUGGAUUGACACACUGAAGAUAAAUUUUUUUAUUAUUAUCAUCAUUAAAUUAUUAUUUUGUGACUAUUACUAUUCAACUAACACUACAUCUGAUAAUAUAAUGAUAAACACAUUCCUUUUUUAUAUUAACUAGCAUUUUUUUCGAGUUUCUUAAAGCUUUGUUUGCAACUCUGGAUGAUUUAUGUGGGACAUGAUAAAACCAAUCUCCACACAGGCUAAUUUGAGACCUGGCAUCAUUGUCUCUCUCUGAACAAUCUGGAAGCUUUUUUAUGGUAGUGAAUUGCUCAUUUGGGGUGCGAGGAUUGAAGCAGGCAAGUGUCUGGGUCAUUAUGUGCUCAGCCAUGUCUUACAUAGGUGUUUGGAUUUGUAUAGCACUGGUUAAUCUGUAAUGUGUUUUAAUUUAGAGACAUAAAUUCUGGCCAGAAUUCUAUGCUUUAAUUAAAUAGUGUCAAGGGAUUGAUCGCAGCAUAUUGAUCCAUAACUGAACAUUUUAUCCAUGAAGUCACAGGUCCAGUGAGUCAUCAUUGCCUAGAAUACCCUACUUCAAACAAUGAAACUCACUUUCAAUCUAUCAUCAUCUUUCACUCUUCAGUGAAACCCCAUGUAGCUUCCAGAUGUGGUUUCAGGAUUUCUCUAUAUUGUUGGAGAGAACUGAAAGUCAUAGAGGACACCAAGCAUCACGCCUGACCAGCAAUGGAACAGCCCUACCUUAAUGUUUAUCACUUCGCUUCCACUUUCCUAAUUUCACUCAAGUUUCUAUUACUGAGAAACUCAAACUUGUACUAAAACAAAGAAGAGGAUUCCAAGGAAAGUAUGUCCUUUAAGUGAUCAUUCAAAGACUUUUGUCUCCAAGAAAAUAUCAUUUUUUCCAGAGAACCUAAUGAUAUAAGCUUAACUCUGAGAUACAUCACACCCAUGAUUACGCAAACACACAUACACAGAUGCACAAACUCAACUCAAAGAUCUUGCCAAUAAAACUAAGUGAAAAAGCUUUUCCUGUAUCUUUAGAACAUAUUGACACUUUGUGGCCCACAGGCAUAAUUAGUAAGGUAAUUGGUAGGAGUUAGAGUGCAAAUCAGCCCUAAUAACAACAUUCCUUUCAUACUCUGAAAGAAAGAUGAUCUGCUUAAUCAGAUCCUAUGUGAAUAAUGAAUCUCACAUCUGCCUG